rnacentral:rRNA from 1 species
GACAGAGGGUGCAAACGUUGUUCGGAAUUACUGGGCGUAAAGGGCGCGUAGGCGGCCUUCUAAGUCGAACGUGAAAUCCCUGGGCUCAACCCAGGAACUGCGUCCGAUACUGGAAGGCUUGAAUCCGGGAGAGGGAUGCGGAAUUCCGUGAGUGAGCGGUGAAAUGCGUAGAUAUCGGUGAGGAACACCGGUGGCGAAGGCGGUUCUCUGGGCCUGUACUGACGCUGAGGAGCGAAAGCGUGGGGAGCGAACAGG